rnacentral:ncRNA from 1 species
ACAGUACAAACUGAUCAGGCGUCAGACUAUUUUCCGUCUGUGAAGCCGGGCCGGACUACAUACGGCAGCAGAUGAUAAACAGCAUCUGUGGGACAGU